UGAAUACGAGACGCUAAGGCGUCGAAGUAGUGUAUGUCAUACUUCCAAGAAAAGCUUGCACUGUCAUAGAUAAAAAACGCCUGUACCAUAACCGACACAGGUGGGUAGGUAGAGUAUACUAAGGGGCGCGAGAUAACUCUCUCUAAGGAACUCGGCAAAAUAACUCCGUAACUUCGGGAGAAGGAGUGCCUUAUUCGUAAGGUUGCAAUAACAAGAUCCAAGCAACUGUUUAUCAAAAACACAGGUCUCCGCUAAGUCGUAAGACGAUGUAUGGGGGCUGACGCCUGCCCAGUGCCAGAAGGUUAAAGAAGUUGGUUAGCAAUUGCGAAGCUGAUAACUGAAGCCCUGGUGAACGGCGGCCGUAACGAUAACGGUCCUAAGGUAGCGAAAUUCCUUGUCGGGUAAGUUCCGACCCGCACGAAAGGCGUGAUGAUUUGGAUACUGUCACGGAGAGGGGCUCGGUGAAAUAGACUUGCCUGUGAAGAUGCGGACUACCUGCACCAGGACAGAAAGACCCUAUGAAGCUUUACUGUAACUUGAAAUUGAAAUUGGACUUUAUUCGCGCAGCAUAGGUGGGAGGCGUUGAUUAUAAUCUUGCGGGAUUAUUGGAGCCAUCAGUGAGAUACCACUCUUGUAAUGUUAGAUUUCUAACUUUGAAUCAUUAUCUGGUCAAAGAACAGUUUCAGGCGGGCAGUUUGACUGGGGCGGUCGCCUCCUAAACGGUAACGGAGGCGUACAAAGGUUUCCUCUGAACGGUUAGAAAUCGUAUCUAGAGUGUAAAGGCAUAAGGAAGCUUGACUGUGAGACCUACAAGUCGAGCAGGGACGAAAGUCGGUCUUAGUGAUCUGACGGUACUGAGUGGAAAGGCCGUCACUCAACGGAUAAAAGUUACUCUAGGAUAACAGGCUGAUCUCCCCCAAGAGUUCACAUCGACGGGGAGGUUUGGCACCUCGAUGUCGGCUCAUCGCAUCCUGGGGCGGUAGUACGUCCCAAGGGUUGGGCUGUUCGCCCAUGAAAGCGGUACGCGAGCUGGGUUCAGAACGUCGUGAGACAGUUCGGUCCAUAUCCGGUGUAGGCGUUAGAAUAUUGAGAGGAGCCUUCUUUAGUACGAGAGGACCGAGAAGGACAUACCUCUGGUGUACCAGUUAUCGUGCCAACGGUAAACGCUGGGUAGCUAUGUAUGGAGUGGAUAACCGCUGAAAGCAUCUAAGUGGGAAGCCCACCUCAAGAUAAGUAUUCUCAC
rnacentral:rRNA from 1 species